rnacentral:rRNA from 1 species
UACGUAGGGGGCAAGCGUUGUCCGGAUUUAUUGGGCGUAAAGAGCGUGUAGGCGGUUAGGUAGGUCCGUUGUGAAAACUCGAGCUCAACCUCGAGACGCCGAUGGAAACCCCCUAACCUAGAGUCCGGAAGAGGAGAGUGGAAUUCCUGGUGUAGCGGUGAAAUGCGCAGAUAUCAGGAAGAACACCCCGUGGCUAAGGCGGCUCUCUAGUACGGUACUGACGCUGAGACGCGAAAAGCGUGGGGGAGCGAACAGG